GGUCAGGUAGCUCAGUUGGUAGAGCAGUGGACUGAAAAUCCACGUGUCGCCAGUUCAAUUCUGGCCCUGACCACCU
rnacentral:tRNA from 1 species